AUUGAACGCUGGCGGCAGGCCUAACACAUGCAAGUCGAACGAGUGGCGGACGGGUGAGUAAUGUCUGGGCAACUGCCCGAUGGAGGGGGAUAACUACUGGAAACGGUAGCUACUACCGCAUACCAUCGGAUGUGCCCAGAUGGGAUUAGCUAGUAGGUGGGGUAACGGCUCACCUAGGCGACGAUCCCUAGCUGGUCUGCGAGGAGGACCCGCACCACGGGACCUGAGACAAGGCCCAGAUUCCUCGGGGAGGCAGCAGAGGGGAAUAUUGCACAUUGGGGGAAAGCUGGAGGCAGCCAGGCCGCGUGUAUGAAGAGGGCCUUGGGGUGGUAAAGUACUUUCAGCGGGGAGGCGUUACCCGCAGAGGAAGCACCGGCUAACUCCGUGCCAGCAGCCGCGGUAAUUC
rnacentral:rRNA from 1 species